AGCGAACGCUGGCGGCAGGCCUAACACAUGCAAGUCGAACGAACUCUUCGGAGUUAGCGGCGGACGGGUGAGUAACACGUGGGAACGUGCCUUUAGGUUCGGAAUAACUCAGGGAAACUUGUGCUAAUACCGAAUGUGCCCUUCGGGGGAAAGAUUUAUCGCCUUUAGAGCGGCCCGCGUCUGAUUAGCUAGUUGGUGAGGUAAUGGCUCACCAAGGCGACGAUCAGUAGCUGGUCUGAGAGGAUGAUCAGCCACAUUGGGACUGAGACACGGCCCAAACUCCUACGGGAGGCAGCAGUGGGGAAUCUUGCGCAAUGGGCGAAAGCCUGACGCAGCCAUGCCGCGUGAAUGAUGAAGGUCUUAGGAUUGUAAAAUUCUUUCACCGGGGACGAUAAUGACGGUACCCGGAGAAGAAGCCCCGGCUAACUUCGUGCCAGCCGCCGCCGUAA
rnacentral:rRNA from 1 species